UCGAGGAUCUUCGGCAAUGGGCGCAAGCCUGACCGAGCGACGCCGCGUGUGCGAUGAAGGCCUUCGGGUUGUAAAGCACUGUCGAGGGGGAGGAAAGCCCGCAAGGGUUUGACCUAUCCCUGGAGGAAGCACGGGCUAAGUUCGUGCCAGCAGCCGCGGUAAGACGAACCGUGCGAACGUUGUUCGGAUUCACUGGGCUUAAAGGGCGCGUAGGCGGCUUGCCAAGUCAGGGGUGAAAUCUUUCGGCUCAACCGGAAAAGUGCUUCUGAUACUGGCGGGCUGGAGGGAGGUAGGGGCAGAUGGAACUUCCGGUGGAGCGGUGAAAUGCGUAGAUAUCGGAAGGAACGCCGGUGGCGAAAGCGAUCUGCUGGACCUCUUCUGACGCUGAGGCGCGAAAGCCAGGGGAGCAAACGGGAUUAGAUACCCCCGUAGUCC
rnacentral:rRNA from 1 species